rnacentral:misc_RNA from 1 species
GCAUAUAAUAAAAUGCGUUUAAAAUCAAUCAUUUUCAAAAAAUAAGGUGUCUAUUAACAGGUUAUGAAAACUGAAAAAACAUGUGAAACAGCAAUGCUUGAGCAGCAAGAACUUGGCAUCUAAGCCAAAUUCAAAUCGGUAGUUGGGUAAGUUGAAGCCUCUCCAUCCAGACAGGGUAACCCCUCCUACUUAAAUUCAACACCUCUCCUCAUCAAUUCCAUUACCCAAUAUAUAAAAAAUGCCCAUGCCACACCAAACUGGCCUUUCCAUUUUGCACUUAGGCAUUCUCUCUCUCUCCCUCUCUUUUCUGGUAAUUAUUAACUAUUUUAAAAUCAAAGAUACGACUGAUAGCUUUUACAGCCUACUAACUAUAGGAUAGAAAUCAAGAAAAUGCAUAUUACUUAUCAAUUUGUGAAUCAGAGAAGAAAUUAAUCAUAAAACAUGGUGAUUCUCAUCUCAGACUACUUCCCAGAUUUGUCGGUUUCCCAUAAGCUGAUUAAUUGUCUGCCCACUCACACCAAUCCCAGGAGAAAGCUUUAAG